UUUCAGACAAAAUACAUUCUCUUUCUAUGCUAGUAUAUACACAGUUUAUACAAGCUAAAAGUUGUCAUUUGGACAGGUGGACGAAUUCAACAGUUGUCCAUUGACUGAGCUGGCAUUCUUUAUUCUUGCACUUGAACUUACAUGUUUUGAUAUGUUCAAAGUCUUCAGCCCCAACUCUGUUUCUUCUUUAUCAUUCUUUGUUGUGGACUUUGGUUGACAAAUUGACUUGGAUUGUUGAAGAAUUGAUGAUGAAUCUGAACUUCUGGUACGAGGAUAAGCUUGAUUCUCAAUACCUUCAACUAAUUGAAUUGUACACUUUUGAUCAUUUGCUUGCGUUAAAUUUGUAUUGUUGUUUCGCAGUUCGCACUAUAUUCAACAGCUAUACAUGGAAUUCUAUAAAUGGUGUCAAAUAUAAUAUAUUUUCUAUAUGAAGGAUCAAAGUUACACAUUUUAAUUAAUUGAAAGUUAAAUAUGUGGAGUCAUCUACUCAGAACUAGUUUUCUAUAAGAGUGAUUGGGUGCUUGUGAUAUGCUAAAACUGUGCAGGAGCAUGACAAACUUAAACCAAGGUCAAGGAUCACUGUACAUCUGGGCUAUUCCUCUGCUCAGAAACGCUAUGUCCUGUGUGAUUUCAACAAUAAAGUGUUCUUUGUUAUCAGGUAUAUCUAAUUUAGAAUGGAUACACUUCCAUCUCAGAUUUGGUAGAGACUCACAUUGAUUGGCUUAUGGUUUGUUUAUAUGGACUUGGACAAUUCUUCCCUCAUAAACUAACUUUUGGGGUUCAGAUAGACCCAAGUGUCAUAUCAAUUAUGAUCUACUCAAGCCAAUAUUCUCAAAAAGGAAAUCAGAACAUAUAUGUUCCUAAUAUGUCAAGAACAGGGACAAUGAACAUACCAACUCAAGACAAGCAGCACAAGCUAGAGACCUUCGUCGUUAUCUUUUAUCUUGCCUACGCAACGCCUAAAAAGAACCUCAGUUCGCUAAGGUCUUUGAUCUUGAAUUUCAUCCAUGCAUGCGGUUUCUGUUUAUUUGGGUUCGGUUUGGUUUGAUUUUAAAUUUUUAAAACCCACUAAUAUUUGGUUUGGAUGGAUUUUAUGGAAACAAACUGAAGAAAAAACCUAACCAAAGCAACAAAUUAUAUAUACAAUUUUCACAGUGAUAUAUACAGUUUUGCAAAGGUUGAAUUUAGAAUCAUGGCUUCCUACACCAUGAAAGAACAAACAUAUUGAGAUAGACUCUUUAACUUUGGUAGGGAGAGAACAAGUCAAGGAAUGAACAAGACUCAAACAUGUAUCCACUAAAGAUCAACUAGCAGGUCUGCAAAUCAAGAGCCCAGAAAGAACACAAUAUGAGCAUUAUCUUACGAACUAGGAGUGAAGAACAACAUUUUUGACAAUCAGCCUCAAGGGAAGUGUCAAAGUGACAUGCUUAGGAUACAAUACUGAGAGUAGAGCUAAAUCAUUAGCUAAGGGUUCGGCCAAACUCAAUAACUUUUGCUUAGGCCCUAUAUUUGUAAUUAAUACGACUUUUGGAUUCAAUGGAAAAAAACCACAAACUUCAUAUCGCGGUUCCACCUCUGACAAUACACAUAGAGCCGUGAUGGAUAAGUGGGUGACAAGUUUAUUAAUAUAGCUCUGUUAAGUUAAGUUAGAGGUUAGCUGAGCAAUGAUGUGUAUAAAUAGCUAGGUUACAAAGUCUUGUAUAUAUGUACUAAUUCAUUUAUUCUUCAAUCCAAAGUGUUGUUUUUCUCCCUUCUCUGAUAACUGCCAAAUUACAGAAUUCUCUCCAGUUCAAAUCGUUCCUCUCUUCUUCACCAAUGGCUUGGCUUCUUAACAAAAACUAAUUAGAUUUAGCGGAAGCAAAUACUUUGUUCCCAACUUCAAGAAUUGAGCUAGUCCUGGAGCUUUUUUUCUUUAAGAAAUUGGAGUACCAGAGUGCAGAAAGCUUUGGGUAUCUUGUUAAUUCUUUGUCAUCCAAAUCUACAUAGAAGAGUCCAAAGGAUGUCCUAUAGCCACUCAGUAGCUCCAAACAAUCUAAGAAAGACCAUCGGAAGUAUCCUCUUGUGUUUGAUCCAUUCCUGGUGGACAUGGACAAUAAAAAAAGGGGCAGUCCGGUGCAUUAAAGCUACCGCUAUGCGCGGUGUCCGGGGAAGGGCGCCACCACAAGGGUGUAUCGUACGCAGUCUUACCUUGCAUUUCUGCCGGAGGCUGUUUCCAAGGCUUGAACCCGUGAUCUCCUAGUCACAUGACAACAACUUUACCAGUUACUAUGCACUGAUGGUGUACAUGGACAAUAAUGGAAAUAAAUAAACUAAUUAUUGAAGUACUAUGCACUGAUGGUGUAAAAUAUAUUUACAGAAUCUGGUCAUUUAUAAGGCAAUUACGAAUAAAUUCAUAUAAUAAGCAUUAAUAGAUAACCUAAAAGCUAAUGCCUGAAAGCAGACAUAAGGUUAAACUCUAGAGCUUGUUAUAACUCCUCAAUGAUAUGAAAGAACUUACUCAAAUCCAUGUUUAUAUUAAACCCCAUCAGUUAAUCAUACUUAUGUAAUAUAUAGAGGUAAACAUAUACAUUAGUUAAUCAUAAUUAAGUGAUAAAAGCUUAUAUAGAAAGCAUAUGUCAUCAUUUUAUUAGCUUGGUGUAACACUAAAUGUGGUUACACUUUUUUUUGGUCAUAUUGCGAAUUUAUGGGCUUACCUCAGAGCAUCCAGCACACCUCCAAUGUAAGCAUGCAAUUCUACACGUUCUGAGUCCAUCAAUGUCCCAGUGCGCGGUGUCUGCUUACCUGCCAAGACAUGUAAUGCAGCUCAGAACAAGGAAAAGCUUCCGAAAAUCCUCUUCUAUGGACUGACUUUAAAAACUCAAUGUCAUAUAGAUGCAAAAUUUGUGAUAAAUCCAGUCAGAUAGUGUUAACUCAGAAAUCAACAAAAAUGGAGCAAAGAAGAUGAAAAUGAAGAACCCUUAAACCAAAGAGAGGAAAGAGUAACGUGUCUGAUACAAGCUUGUGGAAAAUGAAAAUAUCUUUUUCUUGCCCCUUCUUCUAGAGAUAUUUACAAUCAAAAUACAAGUAAGAAUGAAAUGGAAUGAGAUAAAUUCCACUAGAACUAAUUGGGCCGGAUCUCCUUAUUAGCAUGUGGGCCGUCCGGAUCAUUUUUAGGCCCAGAUAUCGUAACACCCCGUCUCAAGCUGGAGGGUGUGAAAACUCCAAGCUUGGGAAGUAAACAACGGUGAGCAGGCCCGGAAAGGGGUUUGGUCAGUAUGUCUGCCAAUUGAUCUGCACUAGGAACAUAAUGAAGAGAAAUCAGAUUAUAAUGAAGACAAUCACAAACAUAAUGACAAUCAAUUUCAAUAUUCUUCAUGCACUCAUGAAAGACAGGAUUCUUGGCGAUACUCAAAGCAGCCUGACUAUCACAAUAUAUAGGACAUGGAGUAGAAAUGAUCACACCAAAGUCAUGAAGAAGGCGAAUAAGCCAAACGACUUCAGCGACAAUCUUAUGAAGAGCUCGAUACUCGGCUUCAGCAGAGGACAGAGAAAUGGUAGGUUGUUUCUUACUUUUCCAAGAAACAGGGCUAACACCCAAUGUGAUAAGAAAAUCAGUAACAGAACAUCGAGUGUCAUUACAAGAAGCCUAAUUGAAUCAGAAAAACCCAGGAAAGAAAAACCAGAAGUAUUGGAAAGUAAUAUGCCCUGGUCAGGACUAUUCAUCAGAUAACGUAGUACAUGAAUAGCAGCCAACAUAUGUGAAACCUGUGGACGUUGCAAAAAUUGACUCAAGUGCUGCACAGAGAAAGAUAUAUCAGGUCUCAUGUGUUGCAGAAAAUUGAGUUUCCCAACCAAACAUCUAUAAGAGCUCGGAUCAGCCAAGGGAGAACCCAUAGCAGCAACAAAUUUGAAAGAACAAUCCAAGGGAGUGCUAACUGGUGAAAACUGGUGACAAUUAAAUUCAUGUAGCAAAUCAAGAGUGAACUUAUGUUGACUAACAAGAUAUCCCUGCUUAUGAUGAGAAACCUCCAUGCCAAGGAAGUAAUGAACAUUACCAAGAUCCUUAAUCCGGAACUGACCAUCAAGGAAUUGUUUUAAAGACUGCAAUUCAACUAAAUCAUCCCCAGCCAGUACUAUGUCAUCAACGUAAACAACUAAUAUAACACGUGAAGUGGAAGUGCACUUCAUAAAUAAUGAAUAGUCAUUCUUACUUGAGAGAUAUCCUUUAGAAAUAAGAGUUGUGGACAGCUUAGAAAAACAUUAACGAGAGGCUUGUCGGAGGCCAUAAAGUGAUUUCUUAAGGCGACAAACUAAAGGAACAGUAGAAAAAAAAGGAACCUCAAGUCCGGGUGGAAAUUUGAUAUAAACUUCCUCUUGGAGAUCACCAUGAAGAAAGGUGUUAUUAACGUCCAGCUAGUAUACUGUCCAGCCUUUCUUAGCUGCAAUAAUAAGAAGGCAUUUGACGGUAGUAAGCUUGACUACCGGAGAGAAAAUCUCAGUAAAGUCCACACCUUCCUUUUAAGUGUCACCACGAAUAACCAAGUGAGCCUUAUACCUCUCAAUGGAUCCAUCCGAUCGUUAUUUGAUCUUAUAGACCCACUUACAAGGAAUGGCCUUCUUAUGAGAAGGAAGAGGGAUGAUGUCCCAUGUAUGAUUAGUCUCCAAGGCCUGAAAUUCCUUAACCAUGGCUUUCUGCCAAGCUGGAUGGCCAGCAACCUGGUGGUAAAAUUGUGGUUCAUGAAGGUGAAGCUCAACAGGGGAGAUCCUUGAAUCAUUAGGUUCAGAAGGCAUAUAGUGGGCAAUCGAGCAGACAUAAUCAUCUAGAUAAGAAGGUUUAUGGGUCUUCCUAGUAUAGUGUCGAGAAGGUAAAGUAGGAGUAAAAAUUAUAGAAUUAGGAGCAACAACUGAAGGGGUAAGGUCAACUGAAGGUGGUGCGGCAUUAGGAGAAAUAGAAACCGAAGGCAUAUGGGCAGAAUGAGGUGCAGAAUUAAGAGAAGGAGGACCAGAAACUGAGGGUCCUGAAAUAUCAGGGAAAGUAGGAGGAGGCGGUGGAAAUAAAGAAGGGGUUGAAGAAUGAUAGGUAAAGAUGUGUUCAUGGAAUACGACAUCCCGAGAAUAAAAAAUAGAAAAGGUGGUGAGAUUUAGUAUUUUAUAGCCCUUUUUGCCAAAUGGAUAGCCUAAGAAAAUAGAAGAGAUUGCCCUGGCUUGAAACUUAUUUCUACCAAUUUUAAGAGAAGUGGCAAAACACAAACAACCAAAAGACUUCAAAUGGUCAUAUGAAGGUGGAGACUGAUGAAGUUUUUCAAAAGGGGAGAUAUUAUGGAGCAAAGGAGAAGGGAAUCGGUUAAUCAAGUAUGUGGCUGUUAGGACACAGUCUCCCCAAUAUUUCAAGGGUAAUUUGGACUGAAAAAGUAAUGUUUUUGAUGUAUCAAGGAGGUGUUUAUUUUUCCUUUCCAGCACACCAUUUUGUUGGGGAGUGUGAGAAAUGGAAGUUUGAUGUAUGAUACCAUUUUCAGCAAAAAAAACUUAGAAGCCUCAUGGCUGCCCCCAAACUCAAAGGCAUUAUCGUAUCUAAAGAUUUGUGAAAAUGAGUCUUAACCAUGAAAGUGAAUGCUUUUAGAAUGGAAAAGGCAUUGUCCUUUAAAGAUAAGAGGUGAGUCCAAGUAGCUCUAGUGUAAUCAUCAACGAAGGUAAUAAAAUACCUAUAACCAUUGUAAGUGGGAGUAUUAUAUGGUCCCCAAGUAUCAACAUGAACCAAUUGAAAUGGUUUAGAAGAGUGAAUUGAACUAUCAGGAAAGGAAAGUCUCUGUUGUCUAGCCAUAGGACAUAUAGUACAUACAAAGGACUGUUUAGAAGACAAUUUGUCAGAUAAAUGUGGAAUGGAGCGCAUUCUAUGAAAUGGCAAGUGGCCAAGUCUUUAAUGCCAAAACAAAUCAAUUUUAUUAAUAGUUGAUGGCAAUUUACAAGAGGGAUCAGGAAAGACAUUACAAGGAGAAUUGAAAGUAAAAGAACUAAUAGAAUCAAAUGGAAGUACAGCAGUAGAAAUAGAUGGUAAAACAGUUGCAGAAUCAGAAGCAGAUACUAGAAAGGAUGAAGUUGUAGAUGUAUCUGAAGUGGAGUUUGGGAAUGCAGAACAUAUGGAGGAUACUUUUUUCUGAGGAUAAGCACUCUUGACUAAGGAAAUACAAACCUUUUGCAACUUUACUAAAUUCCAGUGACCUCUACAGAGAAGGGCCCUGUAAGAAGCAAUUGGAUAUGUAAAAAGUGUUGAACAGUCAAAUUGAUCAAGGAGUUGGGAUAUAGAAAUUAGAUUGAAUUAAAAUGGGGGAACAAGAACCAUAUUAUGUAACAUUAUAUCAGACCUAAGAAAUAAAGAACCAGUGGAUAUGACCUUAACUUUGUAUCCAUUAGGAAGUAUGAUAAGAAAGGGAGUAGGAAUUGGGUGAAGGUUAUGUAGUAAAUAUUUGUGAUGAGUCAUGUGAUUGGUUUCCCCUGAAUCUAAAAUCCAAGAAGUUACACUUAGUUGGGAACUUGCACAAGCAUGAAAACCAACAGAAUUUACAACAGGACUACUGAAAACACUAUUAAACAUACCAGCAAAAUUGGAAAAACCAGAAAAUUCUGUAUUUGGUUGUUCAGACAGGUGCUGCUGGUCAAAUGAGGAUAUAAAAUAUUGGUAAGGCUCAUUGUGUGACCCAUGAGAAGGUGAAAUAGUAGUGGAUGACUUGUUAUUUAGAGAAUCAGCUGCAAACAUACUUUGCACACAAGCUACAGACUUCUUACCUCUAUUAAAUUGAUAAUCUGCAGGGUAACCGUGUAGUUUGUAGCACUUGCUCAUGACAUAACCUGGAUUUUUGCAAUAUCUGCAGAAUUGUAGAUUGGUAGAUUGGUACUUGGACUCAAAAUUAAUUCUUUGGGGAUAAGUUCUACCAUUGAGAGAAGACCCUGGAGAAUCAUAAGGAACCCCUUUCUGAGGAUAAGACCUUCCUUGGGACUCAAAGUUGAUCUUGGAAGGAUUAUUUCUACCAAAACCAUAAGAAACACUUGGAGGUGGUGCUUUAAAGCUGUCAUUAUAUCUAUAAGAGGUAGCAUGGAAGAACAUGGAAUUAGUGGUGAGUGUGGAAGGAAUAGAAUGUUCCUUCUGUUUUUCAUCAUGAUGGACCAUAGAAUAAGCCUUACUAAUGGUAGGUAGGGGAUUCAUCAUGAAGAUAUUACUUUUGCAUGUAGAAUAAGGUUCAUUUAAUCCACUUAGGAAUUGGAAUAAUUUUUGUUCCUCAAGAUGUUUGGGUAAUGCACCGCAAGUACAGGUGGGGCCUACAUAUGCAGUGUUUAGCUCAUCCCAAAGGCCCCUAAGUUUUGUAAAGUAUGUGGCUAUAUCUGAAGAACCUUGAGUAGUGGAAGCUAAUUCUCGUUGAAUUUGAAUGUAUAUGGACCCGUUGGACUGUCCAAAAUGUUCAGUAAGAUCCUCCCAAAUAUCUUGAGCAGUAUUGAAACCAAUAACACUCAUAGCAAUGUUCCUAGACAAGGAAUUAGUGAUCCAAGCUAUGAUCAUAUCGCUACAUAUUUCCCAAUAUGGAUAAUACGGAGACACAGGUAUGGGUUUAGGGUUCCUACCGUAAUUACACCUAGUUUAUUCUUAGCCGAAAGAAAAAUUAACAUACUUUUUCUUCAACGAACAAAAUCAUUUCCAUCAAAUGGCGAUAAAGUGAGUUGAAUACCAGGACUAUCAGACGGAUGCACAUAAAAUGGAUGGGAUUGAUCAAUAGAAAAAUGAGUAAACCCUUCGGUAGAUGGGGACGUGGUAUUACUCAUGAUGACGCAAAAAUGUCAAAAACUCAAAAAUGUCAACAAUUCAGUACACCUGGUACCCUAGAGUAGUGAAGAAAGAUGUUACCGUUCUUCUUCUAAACCUGAAGAAGACUAGGCCUUGUUCAACACGAAGCUUAUCAAAUUUUCGACGUCGUAACAAAAACCAGCACAACAACGGCAACAAAUUUUCAAUAUUUCAACACAAUAUUAAAGUUAUAGCAAUAUCAACACAGAAUCCACCAUUGCAGACGAAUGCCAAAACAAACUCCAUUGAAAAUGGGAUUUUUAGCUCAAACUUCAAAAAUAAAAGGUCAACAAAAUGGCUUGAGGGUAGGAUCGAUCAAAAGAGAAGAUGAAAUAGAGAAAAACACCUGGAUUUGAUACCAUGUUAACUCGAAAAUCAACAAAAAUAGAGCAAAGAAGAUAAAAAUAAAGAACCCUUAAACCAGAUAGAGGAAAGAGUAAAGUGUCUGAUACAAGCUUGUGGAAAAUGAAAAUAUCUUUCUUCUAGAGUUUUCUUUCCUUUUACAUUUACAAUCAAAACACAAGUAAGAAUGAAAUCGAAUGAGAUAAAUUCCACUAGAACUAAUUGGGUCGGAUCUCCUUAUUAGCAUGUGGGCCAUCCGGAUCAUUUUUAGGCCUAGAUAUCGUAACAGAUGGUGCAAAGCUACUAUCUCUGAUUAUUCAAAUUUGUCCAGUCAGAUAGUGUGAAGAAAUAGUAGAU
rnacentral:lncRNA from 1 species